rnacentral:ncRNA from 1 species
UACCUGGUUGAUCCUGCCAGUAGUCAUAUACUUGUCUCAAAGAUUAAGCCAUGCAUGUGUAAGUAUGAACUAAUUCAGACUAUGAAACUGCGAAUGGCUCAUUUAAUCAGUUAUAGUUUGUCUGAUGGUACCUGCUACUCGGAUAACCGUAUGCAACAAACCCCGACUUCUGGAAGGGAUGCAUUUAUUAGAUAAAAGGUCAACGCGGGCUCUGCCCCUUGCUCUGAUCAUUCAAAUUUCUGCCCUAUCAACUUUCGAUGGUAGGAUAG